UCUUGGAAAAGUAUGCAGCUCUGGCAGAGUUCGUACGUGACAGCUCCCAGUGGUCAGCAGGACCCCAGCACCAGCUCCCUUCCCCUCAAUUGUCAGCUGUAACCAUCAAGGUGCCCUGGCCUAGGGGUCUGUUGCUUUACGAAUAACCAAGGACGUGGAAGAAAGCUGCUUCUAACCACAGAAGGAGGACGUGAGUUGGCCUGAGAAUUGGAAGGGAAUGUUAAGAGCGUUCUGUGUUGGGCAGCCUUUGUCAUCGGAGAGCCUCUCCUGAAAAAUGAGCGCAGUGUAGGCCUGAGUUAAAACUCAGACUUCUCCAUAUCCCCCAGUCCCAUUCUGCCAGCCGAAAUACCAGGCCCCUGCAACCCUCUUCGCUCUCACCAAACCAGCAGACUUUCCUGACAGACCCCAGACUCCGAAGGCCUCAAACCUGGAUUUUGAGGAAGUUAAAUACUAAUGGGGGACCGUGAAGACCAUUAAAAAGUAAUCUUCAUUUGGAGGGAAUGGGAAGAGAGCACUCCUGUCAGGACAAGGUCCCACCCACAGCACUGAGCAAGUCAAGGGACCACAUCCUCAAAGAAAAAAAUGGAAUCUCCUAUACAAGGAGGAGGCCAGGCCAUGUUGUCAGAACCACAGCACGGAGCUGAUGGAGAACAAAAUGGGCUCUGGAUUUCAGCCAGACCCAAGCUGAGGGCUGGUGUCGUAGGAUCUAGCAAGAUGUGGGAGGAGAGCAGUAGGAACUGGUAGGCACUGGUACCUCUAUUGCAGAGAUCCAUAUCUCGCCAGAAUUCCAUUUGUAAGUCACUGAAAACUAAGCUGGGUUUUUCCUGAAUACUCCUGAGGAAAUGUUCUUAUGAUAGGUGGCUGAAAUCUGCCAUUUUGUUGGCAGCCUCUUUAAACUGGUGGGGUUUCCGGAUAUUAGGGUUCCUGUGACAGCCACUCUGUGCAUAGCAUCAACCUAAGCCUGUUCCACG